rnacentral:rRNA from 1 species
AUUGAACGCUGGCGGCAGGCUUAACACAUGCAAGUCGAGCGGGGGAAGGUAGCUUGCUACCGGACCUAGCGGCGGACGGGUGAGUAAUGCUUAGGAAUCUGCCUAUUAGUGGGGGACAACAUCUCGAAAGGGAUGCUAAUACCGCAUACGUCCUACGGGAGAAAGCAGGGGAUCUUCGGACCUUGCGCUAAUAGAUGAGCCUAAGUCGGAUUAGCUAGUUGGUGGGAGAAAGGCCUACCAAGGCGACGAUCUGUAGCGGGUCUGAGAGGAUGAUCCUCCACAAUGGUGCAGAGGCGCGGCCCAGACUCCUACGGGGGGCAGCAGUGGGGAAUAUUGGACAAUGGGGGGAACCCUGAUCCAGCCAUGCCGCGUGUGUGAAGAAGGCCUUAUGGUUGUAAAGCACUUUAAGCGAGGAGGAGGCUACGUUAGUUAAUACCUGGAGAUAGUGGACGUUACUCGCAGAAUAAGCACCGGCUAACUCUGUGCCAGCCGCCGCCGUAA